rnacentral:tRNA from 1 species
ACCUCGGUGGUCUAAAGGCUUAGGACGCUCGCAUAGGAUGCUAGAGACCCGGGUUCGAUUACCGGCUGAGGUA